AUUGAACGCUGGCGGCAGGCUUAACACAUGCAAGUCGAGCGGGGGAGGUUGCUUCGGUAACUGACCUAGCGGCGGACGGGUGAGUAAUGCUUAGGAAUCUGCCUAUUAGUGGGGGACAACAUUCCGAAAGGGAUGCUAAUACCGCAUACGCCCUACGGGGGAAAGCAGGGGAUCUUCGGACCUUGCGCUAAUAGAUGAGCCUAAGUCGGAUUAGCUAGUUGGUGGGGUAAAGGCCUACCAAGGCGACGAUCUGUAGCGGGUCUGAGAGGAUGAUCCGCCACACUGGGACUGAGAGACGGCCCAGACUCCGACGGGAGGCAGCAGUGGGGAAUAUUGGACAAUGGGCGGAAGCCUGAUCCAGCCAUGCCGCGUGUGUGAAGAAGGCCUUUUGGUUGUAAAGCACUUUAAGCGAGGAGGAGGCUACUAGUACUAAUACUACUGGAUAGUGGACGUUACUCGCAGAAUAAGCACCGGCUAACUCUGUGCCAGCCGCCGCAGUAAAAC
rnacentral:rRNA from 1 species